ACCACCACCACCACCACCACCACCACCACCACCACCACCACCACAGCACUCAGCGUGGCACAGAAGGAACAGAGCCAGGCGGAAAACAAGGACUAAGAUCCACUGCCACUUCCAAAUAAGGGCAUUAUUGAGAAGUAUGGCCUGGCACUGCAAUCAUCAGGGUUCUUUGCUGGGUAUGACAUCAACAUCAACGCAGGCAUUGCCAAUUCUGUGUCGUCGCAGGCCCUCAAAUUUGUGGCCUCUCUCCUGCCAAAUACUGUGGCUUAUUUUGAUGAGGAGAAGGUGAAAGAGCGUCCCAUCACAGACACCUUCUAUGCUCCCUUUGACCUUUACAAGCCCAUUAGAGGUGGUAAGUACUUGUUAAUAUAUUUUGGUGAUAGAGAAAAG